ensembl:lncRNA
CUUGAAUUACAGAGGAACAGAAGGCAUAUUAUGGUGGGAAUUUCAUCCAUUUCCUUAUAAUAACAUAAUCCAUAGAGAGUACCUCUUAAUAUGAAGGCAGAAAGGAUUUUGUCUACCACUUUUGAGGCAGAAGGCUUCCUGGCUCUACAAGCUAUACCCCUCUUUUCCAGAUCUCCCUCUCUUCAAUGAGACUUAAGAAACUCUCUGAGCCUCCUUCUCCCUGGAUUAUGGAAACUUCAGCCUGAAACCCUGCAGCGUUCUUCCAGUCGAUACAUAGUGCCGAGGAUGCAGGAGAAUAACGUCAUCGAAUACUGUUAGAACAGUGCUCAGAACUCCUUUAUUCAUAGAGCUCAAAGCCAAGUUCCGCUAUUUCCUCCCAGCCAGUGUUCCAGAAGCCAUUCUUGCAAUAUUAGAGCAGGAAUAGUGAUCAAGGCCUGCUGUGAUCUUACAGUUUAAAAAAGACAAAGGGGUAACUGGACCCAAGAACGAAGUACAGUAACACACAACUUUCCCUCAGACCUUUUCUACAGAAACAAGAGCUCAGGAUGGUCCUUAUUCCAUCCACCCAUUCACUCAUUUCUUCACCAAGUGUCAACUGACCAUCUGUCAAUUAUCUAACAGAUUCCACACCAAAAGAAUCAAGUAAGACUCGGAAGAACAAAGCUGACUCAGAGGGGUUGCAGGAGGGAAAUAGCCUCUAACAAUAAAUUCAAAGAUAAAUGUCAUAGAAAAAAUCAUGGUAGAAAAGCUGACAUUUGCAGCCACUGUCUGUUAGCCAUAACAGACAUAGUAACAUGAUAGAUGUCAUAACUUGGAUUCAUUCAGUCCUUCCAGUUCUGCAAGGAAGAUGUUCUGAAUCCCUGUUUAUAGGCAAGUUAUAUGAGAUACAAAGAGAAUGAAAGAUAAAAGAAGACAAAACACCCAUAAGGUCGCAUGGCCUGGAAAUGGAGGGGCCUGGAUUGGAAUCUGUCUCUAAAUUCUAUGCUCUUGGCAUGAGAGGUGCGGUGAAGUGGAAGAAGAUGAUGUCAAUGCUUCAGGGAAAUUUAUUUUGUUUUCAUCAUUUUUGAGAGGUGUCAAGAACAUAACCACCAUUGGCUCAUGUGAGUGGCAAGUCACACUAAUUGCAAGAGCUUCAGGCGUGGCUGGAUCCAGGAGCUCCAGCUAUAUACUUGUGAGUCUGACUCUCUCCAACUCUUGGUUCUCUUUCCUUUGCUUUUGGUUUCAUUCUGAAGUAGCAUCUCCCAGGUGAUGGUAAACAUGGCCAACACCAGUUAUAGGCCUACAUCCUACCAUUUGAGCAAAGCCAACAGGUAUUUAAUUUCCCUUCUCUAUAAAUUAAGAAAGCCUCUUUGAAAUUAAAGGGGCAAUUUGGAUUAAAAUCUAACUGAUCUCAGUUGAAUCACAAAUCAGUUCCUGAAUCAAUCAUUUGUGAUCUGGGAGAUGAAUAAAGGUGGUUGACCAUAAUGAA